UACAGAGGUCCCAAGCGUUGUUCGGAUUCACUGGGCGUAAAGGGUGCGUAGGCGGUCGGGUAAGUCUGAUGUGAAAUCUCACAGCUUAACUGUGAAACUGCAUUGGAUACUAUUCGGCUUGAGAGUUGGAGGGGGGACUGGAAUUCUUGGUGUAGCAGUGAAAUGCGUAGAUAUCGGGAGGAACACCAGUGGCGAAGGCGGUUGCCUGGAGCUUUGCUGACGCUGAGGCGCGAAGGCGAGGGGAGCGAACAGG
rnacentral:rRNA from 1 species